rnacentral:rRNA from 1 species
GAUGAACGCUGGCGGCGUGCCUAAUACAUGCCAGUCGAGCGAACGGACGAGAAGCUUGCUUCUCUGAUGUUAGCGGCGGACGGGUGAGUAACACGUGGAUAACCUACCUAUAAGACUGGGAUAACUUCGGGAAACCGUAGCUAAUACCGGAUAAUAUUUUGAACCGCAUGGUUCAAAAGUGAAUGACGGUCUUGCUGUCACUUAUAGAUGGAUCCGCGCUGCAUUAGCUAGUUGGUAAGGUAACGGCUUACCAAGGCAACGAUGCAUAGCCGACCUGAGAGGGUGAUCGGCCACACUGGAACUGAGACACGGUCCAGACUCCUACGGGAGGCAGCAGUAGGGAAUCUUCCGCAAUGGGCGAAAGCCUGACGGAGCAACGCCGCGUGAGUGAUGAAGGUCUUCGGAUCGUAAAACUCUGUUAUUAGGGAAGAACAUAUGUGUAAGUAACUGUGCACAUCUUGACGGUACCUAAUCAGAAAGCCACGGCUAACUACGUG